CUAUAUAGAGCAUCAGAACACUAAAUUCUUUGACUACACUGACCCUCGGCAGCAUUACUAACAUAUCUAUUCUUGUUUCUGGUACAUCAGAAAUUACUGGUUCAGUGCUGCCAUCAGAAGAAAGGCACCAGAGCUGCAAAGGAGAUUUUUACCUGAACAGCCUGAUUAUAUCAGGAUUGGAAUUCUUGUUCUUCCCAAUGAAAUGCUGAAUUUCAGAAAAUUGCUUCAAACAACCUGGACAGAAGUGCUCUUCCUGGGUUUUACAGACACGUAAUGUCUACUUCUGAAUCAAGACCUCCUGCAGAAUUCUCGAGAAGAAUGUUUGAAUGCUACAGCUGCUUGCUCAUCCUCAGCCAAAUUCAGAUCUCUUAAAAUUCAGCACAGUCCUAUAUGCAGAACAGAGAAAACCACCAAGUUUAGCCCACUGACGUUUCAGUAAUUGUUGGGACACAGACUGUAAGUAGCUAUGUGUUACCUCAGGAUCACAUAUAUCACAGAAUCACAGAAUAAGCUGAGUUGGAAGAGACUCCCAAGUCCAAUUCCCAGCCCUGCAGGAGACCAACCCCAAGAGUCACAAGUCUGUAUACCUAUUCAUUAUAAACAGUAAUGCAUUACUUAAGUUAUAAGUAGUUUAUGUGUUAUCUGCCAGAAAAAUAAAUGAGAUCUCUUUAUUUGCAUUUAAAGUUGUGCUGUUAUUUGAUAAAUUAAACCCGAAGUACAUAUAGAGGUUUAUUCUAUACACUGUUUUAAUUUAGUCUGAAAUAUUUUAGGAUUUCAAAAUUGGUUUCUUUUUCUGCAUUUUAGGCAAAAUCUAAUGAAAAUAAUAUUUUCUUUAAAAUAACCUUUUCCUGAAGUUGUAUUUUAUUGUUUAUUAUUUCAUAAUUUAUGAAAAAUAUGUAAGUACCAUUAAAAUUACUAAUAAAUCAUCCAAGUUCCCACUGACAGAACAAGCUUCAACAAAUAGCUAUAUUACCCAAGAAAUUAAAGAACAAAAAAAAUGCGCCAACAAAAAUUUGACAAAUCUGCAGAUACAUUAGAGAUGUUUUGUUCCAUUAAGGGAAAAAAAUAUGCUGACUAGCAUGAAAAGGUCACCAUUCCAAUGAUAAUCCUCAGUAACUACAGAGUCUGCUUAUGUCAGUGCCAGCUACCUGCUGAACAGUUUACAGGGCACCUGGGGAGGAUUUUAGGCCUGAUCAGUCUCAACCACGACCUUGAUCUUGUGCAGGCCACUGAUCCUGUAAUUUAUCUGCCUUAGAAUAACUCAGUUUAUGCUGUGACAUGGAAGAUGACCCAGCCUGAACCCAAAAAGAUGAAAGUGUAAGGGUAACAGCAUCUGUUUUAUGCACCUUGUUCUAGCACUCCUCAGCUGCAAUUAAAAAUGAGAGUCAGCAACCACCUGGUUCCUCCUAAAUAAAUUGUGGUUCUCUUAAUAUACUAUAUUCUGUAAUAAACACCUUAAAUAAUCCUGAUUUGCUACAAAACCAGCAAUCCUGUCCUAUCUUUAGCUUUGCUUACAGCUCCCUAUACAAUAAUAUAUCUUGAAUGAAUUACUAGACUUGCACUGACAUGUUGCAGAAAAUUAAAUUGGAUUAGAUACCAUAGGAUUUGUAUAACAGACAUAGUACUUUCUUCCCUUUGCCAGAAGCACCCCACAAAUGCCACAAAGGACUGACUAACCCUUCUGCAUCAGUUCUAUUAAUCAGCAAGUCCCUUAUAUCUGGUGAUGUGCAUUUUAUACAUUGUGAUUGUGUUUUUCCCCUCUAUUCCCUUUGUUGUUUCCCUUUCUUUCUCUCUCUCUAAUUAACAGGAAGGAAAAUGCCUUCUGUACUAUACCUCUCUAUACUGUGUGGGAAGGCUUAAGGACUCCAAGCAUUUUGCUCAAAGUCUAUUUCCUACCAUUCAAAUUAAA